UAGAGUUUGAGGCCCACCUGGCUACAAUAGCAAGCUCUUGUCUCACAAAAGGGAACAGGAUGGAAGGGUGCAGUGGUUACAAACUCCUGACUUCCUGACCCACCAACAGAUCCCAUUUGCAAUUUGGAAAUUGCUACCCCCUAGAUUAGCAGGCUAAACAUAUUGCUAUUUUACAGCAGAGACACUGUGGCCCCGGGAGCAGUCAACAGAUGCUGUAUUUACUGAGGCCCCUCUUUCUUGCCAAGGAUGAAGCCCAGGAUGUCACGUAUGCUAGGCGCACUCCAGCUGCUCUGGGAGAAACAGUCAAAGGGAGGUCAGAGAAGAAUCUGAGAGGCCAAGUUCCAGGUAGAUACAAGAACACCUACCUCACUGAGCCUUCCCCAGACGUCAACCGUGUAUAUUGGGAAAGGACGGGCACCAUGCAGAAGCUUCCAGCAGGCAGGACCUUGCCUCCUGGGUAUGCCCUGUCAGCCACACUGCUGCCUUUGACGUCACCUCAUCAUACUCAGGCAUCCUCCCCCACUGUUGCCAGGCACCUUGUUAAAAACAUCUGGAAUUAAGAUGCCCAUUUGCAUCCUCUUACUGAUAGAGGCACUUCCUGUCCCCCCCUGCCUGAGUACCACCUCCAACAGGCCUUUGCUCAACCCUUCCGCCUAGAGUUCAAUGCCCACUCAGAUCCACCUCCAACACGC